UACAGAGGAUGCAAGCGUUAUCCGGAAUGAUUGGGCGUAAAGCGUCUGUAGGUGGCUUUUUAAGUCCGCCGUCAAAUCCCAGGGCUCAACUCUGGACAGGCGGUGGAGACUACCAAGCUGGAGUACGGUAGGGGCAGAGGGAAUUUCCGGUGGAGCGGUGAAAUGCGUAGAUAUCGCUUGGAACGCCGACGGUGAAAACAGCUCGCUGGGGACUCGCUGACGCUGAGACACGAAAGCCAGGGGAGCGAACGGG
rnacentral:rRNA from 1 species